GAUGAAGAACGUAGCGAAAUGCGAUAAGUAAUGUGAAUUGCAGAAUUCAGUGAAUCAUCGAAUCUUUGAACGCACAUUGCGCCCCUCGGCACUCCGGGGGGCAUGCCUGUCCGAGCGUCAUUGCACCCCUCGAGCCCCCCGUGGCUUGGUCGUGAGCCGCGCCCGCGCCAGCCCCGUCCCCCCCCGUGCAGCGGGGGGCAGGGGCGCCGGGCGGGCUCGAAACGCAGUGGCGGCCCCCGGGCGACUUCCAGCGCGAUGACAUGUUUCGCUGCCGAAGCCUUCGCCCCGGGCGCCCGCCAGGCAACCCCCGUGCUUCUUACGCGGUUGACCUCGGAUCAGGCAGGGAUACCCGCUGAACUUAAGCAUACAAUAAGCGGAGGA
rnacentral:misc_RNA from 1 species